rnacentral:misc_RNA from 1 species
CGCCACCAACCACACCAAUCGUGCUCGCGAGCCCAACUCUAGCUGGAGUUUGUUAGACUGUCCGCAACGCUUCACCCUACACCUCCCCUACCCUAUUACUGUGCAUCCUAUAGCGGCUACAGUGUUCCCCUACCUCCCGCAGCGGCGAGCGCCACCCUCUCCCCUACCUCGCCGCACUCUUCUCUCUCACGCCACAUGCAGGGGAUGACUGUAGCCGCCCCCUCGCCUUCUUCGCGCGGACGGAGCCGACCGCGGAAGACAACGGAAACUUCCCGCUCCACCUCGCUUCGCCUCGAAUCGUCCGCGGAAGAGAGAUUUUGCGCGGCGACGCGGCGGCGGAUCUCCCGUCGGGCUGUGGAGUCGGCCCCGGCCCCGCUCAGUUGCGCAGAAGACGAACUCGACUUCGUCUCCACGCAGUUCCGUUCGCGACCGAAGACAAAGUGGGGUCAAAUCCGCUUCGCACGAGGUACCCCGCUUCCGAUUCGUUGCCUUCCGUAUCCGACCUUGGACGGCUCCAUCAGAUCCACACGGAGACGCUACGAUUCGGCGUGGUGCGGCCGAGAUCUCCCCUUCUUAAGAAUGGACCCAUCAAACAAUGCGACUUCUUCUCAGUCCAUGUCAAACUCAUCUAUUGGCCAGCAGUUUGUUCCUCCACCCCCUAUGUGGCCCACGGCUUACAUGCAGCAGAGUGCUAUGGAUUGUAACCUCGUGGGAAAUCUGAAUUUUCCAAACCCUGCUCAAGGUCCGACAACAUUGUGGGCACCCAUGCAUACAGGGAAUACUUCUUCCCAAUCUUCCAUGAUUCCGGCCUCUCAAUCAGCUAUGUACUGGAAUCAUUAUUUGAAUUUUGUGAGGAAUCCUCUUGGGCCACCAGAAGUAAACUCAUUUCCUGAUUGCAUUCCACCAUUCAAUACCAGUACACCAUUGCAGGGUUCGAAUAAUAUACCUUCCAUACCUGUGAAUUUGGACUCAGAUGCAGAACAUAGUGUUCAAGACAUCAAUAGUCCUGAAAAGAAUGCACCUCCAAUACAAAAACCCAAAAAGGCUAAGGAACAAAACUUUACUAGCCCUGAAGAUCUUCUACUUUGCACAACGUGGUUGCAAAUUAGCAGUGACCCUGUUGUGCACACUGGCCAACGUAGGGAGGGCCUUUGGGCUAGAAUUGAAAAAAGAUACAACGAACAGAGGGGGAACUUUCCUUGCCGAGUGAACAGAGCGCUUAGCAGCAGAUGGGAUAAGAUAAGAGCAGAUGUAAGUAAGUUUGCUGGAUACUAUUCAAGAGUUCUUAGAGAGAAACAAAGUGGGUUAACUGAUGACGACAAGACUUCGAAGGCCGCAACAUUAUUUGCACACGAGGAGAACAAAAAUUUCCAGUACAUGCAUUGCUGGCACCAACUAAAGGGAGAACCGAAAUGGGAGAGCAUUUGUAGUGCCCAAUCGUUCCGCGGAUUGAAUGCAAAUCCAGUUGGGUCAACAGGUACUCCGUCUGCUCCGACAACUGAAAAUGAUAGUUCAUCAGCAGGGUUGACAGGAAAACGGCCGCGUGGUCGUGAUUUCAGUAAAUCAGAGAGAAACAAACCUGCAUCAUCUUCAUCUCCAGAGUACCUUAGCCGUUUGCAAGAAAUAACUGAAAAACAAAUUCAGAGGUCCAUUGAAAAGGGUGCAAAAAAAGAGAAGUGCACAGAAGAAGACAGGGAAAUGGAGAAAAAGAGGUUAGAAUUGGAAGCCAAAAAGGUCAUCAUACGAAAAAGGGAAUUGAAACUUCAAGAACUAGAAUCUGCUGAAAAAAGAUUAGAAAGGCUGGAGGCAACGAAUGAAGAAGAUGUCCAACCCCAUGUUUGGAUUAUGAUACAGAAACAAAAACAGAAGUUGCAAGAAUUCAUAUUUGGUUACGAGUGAAACAUUUAUUCGGUUACUGGUAACUUGAACUUGUUUUACUGAACCUGUUUGUAUUAUUUGUUUAUGUGAGAACGUUACAUUUGUUUGGCAGACCAUUAUAAUAUUUGUACGAACCAUAAGUCGUCAAGGACAGUCGUGCAGUGCUGUUUGUUCUAUGGUGG